CCCUUAGAUGUUCUGGGCCGCACGCGCGCUACACUGAUGCAUUCAACGAGCCUAGCCUUGACCGAGAGGUCCGGGUAAUCUUUGAAACUGCAUCGUGAUGGGGCUAGAUUAUUGCAAUUAUUAAUCUUCAACGAGAAAUGCCUAGUAAGCGUGAUUCAUCAAAUCGCGUUGAUUACGUCCCUGCCCUUUGUACACACCGCCCGUCGCUCCUACCGAUUGAGUGUGUUGGUGAGGAGUUCGGAUUGGCUCUUAGUGGUGGUUCGCCACCACCUAGAGCUGAGAAGUUCUCCAAACCGCCCCACUUAGAGGAAGGAGAAGUCGUAACA
rnacentral:rRNA from 1 species